rnacentral:rRNA from 1 species
GACGAACGCUGGCGGCGUGCUUAACACAUGCAAGUCGAACGGAAAGGCCCUGCUUUUUUGGGGUGCUCGAGUGGCGAACGGGUGUGUAACACGUGAGUAACCUGCCCUUGACUUUGGGAUAACUUCUGGAGACUGGGGCUAAUACCGGAGAUGAUCUCCUGCCGCAGGGUGGGUGUUGGAAAGUUUCGGCGGUUGGGGAUGGACUCGUGGCUUAUCAGCUUGUUGGUGGGGUAGUGGCUUACCAAGGCUUUGACGGGUAGCCGGCCUGAGAGGGUGACCGGCCACAUUGGGACUGAGAUACGGCACAGACUCCUACGGGAGGCAGCAGUGGGGAAUAUUGCACAAUGGGCGGAAGCCUGAUGCAGCAACGCCGCGUGCGGGAUGACGGCCUUCGGGUUGUAAACCGCUUUCGCCUGUGACGAAGCGUGAGUGACGGUAAUGGGUAAAGAAGCACCGGCUAACUACGUG